rnacentral:rRNA from 1 species
CUAUACAUGACUCUGCGCAUAUCAAUAAGCGGAGGAAAAGGCAUACCUACGCUUAGGAUGUUGACGAGACUGUCGAUCUCAUCUAUACACGACUCUGUGCAUAUCAAUAAGCGGAGGAAAAGAAACUAACAAGGAUUCCCCUUAGUAACGGCGAGUGAAGCGGGAAGAGCUCAAAUUUGAAAUCUUCAAGGUUUUACCUUGACGAAUUGUAGUUUAAGGAAGUGCUUUUCUGCUGAGGUUUUGGUAAAAGUUCUUUGGAAUAGGACAUCAUAGAGGGUGAGAAUCCCGUAUUUGACCAUUACUUUCAAGCUUUGUGAUACACUUUCAAAGAGUCGGAUUGUUUGGGAAUGCAGUCCAAAAUGGGUGGUAAAUUUCAUCUAAAGCUAAAUAUUGGCGAGAGACCGAUAGCGAACAAGUACCGUGAGGGAAAGAUGAAAAGAACUUUGAAAAGAGAGUUAAACAGUACGUGAAAUUGUCAAAAGGGAAGCGUUUGACACCAGUGUUGUUUUCUCGAAAAUCAAUUAAAAAUGGCUCGAUUUUGUAUUGUUGAGACCUUAAAAGCUCACUGUACAUUUUUCGUGUCUUUUUUAAUGCACUUUUCGUUUAACAAGUCAACAUCAGUUUCUUUUGUUGUAAAAGGGUCAUUGGUAGGUGGCUUUCUUUUCGGAGAAAGUGUUUAUAGCCUUUGGCCUCUGCAAUCGGAGAGACUGAGGUCUGCAGCGUAGACUCUUCGGGGUUAGAUACAUUUGUGCUAAGUUAUAGCUUUUUAUAGACAACUUGUUGACUAUAAUUAGUCUUGUAGCUUACUCGCUUAUGCUAUUUUACCUACGCUUAGGAUGUUGACAGCAGUAUAGACUGU